UUCAGCCGGUACUCGCGAAUGCNUCUAGAUUUAAGUUUGAUCAUGGCUCAGAUUCCGAACGCUGUGCGGCAGGCCUAACACAUGCAAGUCGAGCGGAUGAUGGGAGCUUGCUCCCGGAUUCAGCGGCGGACGGGUGAGUAAUGCCUAGGAAUCUGCCUGGUAGUGGGGGACAACGUUUCGAAAGGAACGCUAAUACCGCAAUUUACCGGUUCCUACGGGAGAAAGCAGGGGACCUUCGGGCCUUGCGCUAUCAGAUGAGC
rnacentral:rRNA from 1 species